rnacentral:rRNA from 1 species
GUCCACGCCGUAAACGAUGCGCACUAGGUAUGAGAGGUUCUGACGCCGCUCGUGCCGAAGGAAACUAUUUAGUGCGCCGCCUGGGGAGUACGGCCGCAAGGCUAAAACUCAAAGGAAUUGACGGGGGCUCACACAAGCGGUGGAGCAUGUGGAUUAAUUCGAAGCAACGCGAAGAACCUUACCUGGGUUUGACAUGCUGGGAUGCCGUCCUGGAAACAGGAGCCGGUUGCCUUCGGGUGAAACCAGCACAGGUGCUGCAUGGCUGUCGU